CGGCGGCGGCGGCGGGGGAGGGGUGCGGCGGGGGGGGGAGGAGGCCUGGCCCCGCGGUCGCAGCCGCCACCGCCCGCCCCGACCUCCCGGACCGCCGCGGGGCCACGGGCCCGAGCCCCGGAUUCGCGCUCCGGAUUCGCCUCGGCUCGGCCGCGCGUAUAUUUGCCUUCACUCCAUGAUCUCCAACACUAUCCGAUAAAGUAGAAGCAACUGAGGUACCGUGAAAGAGAAAGGAGCUGGAACUGAGAAAAAGCAGAGCUACUCGGAAAGCUGAGGCAGGAGAAUUGCUUGAACUCGGGAGGCGGAGGUUGCAGUGAGCCAAGAUUGCACCACUGCACUCCAGCCUGGGCGACAGAGUGACUCCACCUCAAAGGAGAAAAAAAAAAAGAAAGAAGAACGUUUUAGACCUGGCCCACCAGAGAUCUACUUCCUGUUUCUUCAGUGAUCAAGAAGCUGCUGGGGUCAGGUACUGGCUCCAGGAUUACUCCAGUAUUGUAUUACAGCAGGAGUAAGGGGGUAUAAAGGAAGAUAGCGAGCUAGUGUUUGCAUUCUUGAUGAAAUAAAGAUGUCAUAGAAAUCAACAAUAAGAAAAAGACCAAUAAAAAAAUACAAAAAUAGUAAAGUAUAUGUACAAAAGAUGAACAAUAGGAUGAUGAUUGCUGACUUUUAUUGAGUUUUACUCUGCGUCCAGGAACUAAGUACUUAAUAUGUACUAACUCACUCACUCCUUUCAAUAACCUUAUAAAGUAGAAAGUAUCCUAAUACUCAUUUUACAGAUGAGAAAACAGACAAAGGGAGGUUAAAUAUCUUGCUCAAGGUCAGAGCUAUUGAGAGGUGGGCAUUUAUGCCUAAACUCAUGGACCACAGUAGACCUGAAAAAAGAAAAUUAGAUGAUGUGAUGGCUCAAGAAUUGGACAUUGUUAAUAGCAAUUGAGAAAGAAGCUGGCUUUAAGAGGCCAUAAUGAAUUUGUUUCUAGAUGUGCUUAGCUCGAUAUGAUGGUGUGGCAUCUUUUUAGAAAAAUAAUUUCUGGUUGGGUGUGGUGGUUCACACCUGUAAUCUCCACACUUUGGGAAG